AUACGGAGGGGGCGAGCGUUAUUCGGAAUUACUGGGCGUAAAGCGCGCGUAGGCGGCGCUGUAAGUCGGAUGUGAAAGCCCUGGGCUCAACCUGGGAAUUGCAUUCGAAACUGCAGGGCUAGAGUAUGGUAGAGGGAAGUGGAAUUUCCGGUGUAGCGGUGAAAUGCGUAGAUAUCGGAAGGAACACCAGUGGCGAAGGCGACUUCCUGGGCCAAUACUGACGCUGAGGUGCGAAAGCGUGGGGAGCAAACAGGAUUAGAUACCCCAGUAGUCC
rnacentral:rRNA from 1 species